rnacentral:rRNA from 1 species
CUCAGAUAAACUCCGAAUGCCAAUGAGAUAUAAUCGGCAGUCAGACUGCGAGUGCUAAGAUCCGUAGUCGAAAGGGAAACAGCCCAGACCACCAGCUAAGGUCCCAAAAUAUAUGUUAAGUGGAAAAGGAUGUGGGGUUGCACAGACAACUAGGAUGUUAGCUUAGAAGCAGCUAUUCAUUCAAAGAGUGCGUAAUAGCUCACUAGUCGAGUGACCCUGCGCCGAAAAUGUACCGGGGCUAAAACAUAUUACCGAAGCUGUGGAUACCUUUAUAGGUAUGGUAGGAGAGCGUUCUAUGUGCGAAGAAGGUGUACCGUGAGGAGUGCUGGAGCGCAUAGAAGUGAGAAUGCCGGUAUGAGUAGCGAAAGACAGGUGAGAAUCCUGUCCACCGUAAGACUAAGGUUUCCAGGGGAAGGCUCGUCCGCCCUGGGUUAGUCGGGACCUAAGGAGAGACCGAAAGGUGUAUCCGAUGGACAACAGGUUGAUAUUCCUGUACUAGAGUAUAUAGUGAUGGAGGGACGCAGUAGGCUAACUAAACCAGACGAUUGGAAGUGUCUGGCCAAGCAGUGAGGUGUGAUAUGAGUCAAAUGCUUAUAUCUWUAACAUUGAGCUGUGAUGGGGAGCGAAGUUUAGUAGCGAAGUUAGUGAUGUCACACUGCCGAGAAAAGCUUCUAGCGUUAAUUAUACUCUACCCGUACCGCAAACCGACACAGGUAGUCGAGGCGAGUAGCCUCAGGUGAGCGAGAGAACUCUCGUUAAGGAACUCGGCAAAAUGGCCCCGUAACUUCGGGAGAAGGGGCGCUGACUKAUGGUCAGCCGCAGUGAAUAGGCCCAAGCAACUGUUUAUCAAAAACACAGCUCUCUGCUAAAUCGUAAGAUGAUGUAUAGGGGGUGACGCCUGCCCGGUGCUGGGAAGGUUAAGAGGAGUGCUUAGCGUAAGCGAAGGUAUGAAUUGAAGCCCCAGUAAACGGCGGCCGUAACUAUAACGGUCCUAAGGUAGCGAAAUUCCUUGUCGGGUAAGUUCCGACCCGCACGAAAGGCGUAAUGAUUUGGGCACUGUCUCAACGAGAGACUCGGUGAAAUUUUAGUACCUGUGAAGAUGCAGGUUACCCGCGACAGGACGGAAAGACCCCAUGGAGCUUUACUGCAGUUUGAUAUUGAGUAUCUGUACCACAUGUACAGGAUAGGUAGGAGCCUAUGACCUCGGGACGCCAGUUUCGAGUGAGGCGUUGUUGGGAUACUACCCUUGUGUUAUGGCUA